rnacentral:rRNA from 1 species
AACGAACGCUGGCGGCAUGCCUAACACAUGCCAGUCGAACGAAACCUUCGGGUCUAUUGGCGCACGGGUGCGUAACGCGUGGGAAGCUUCCCUUAGGGUCGGAAUAACUCCCCGAAAGGGGUGCUAAUACCGGAUAAUAUCUUCGGACCAAAGAUUUAUUGCCUUUGGAUGGGCCAGCGUUGGAUUAGCUAGUUGGUAGGGUAAAAGCCUACCAAGGCGACGAUCCAUAGCUGGUCGGAGAGGAUGAUCAGCCACACUGGGACUGAGACACGGCCCAGACUCCUACGGGAGGCAGCAGUGGGGAAUAGUGGACAAUGGGCGAAAGCCUGAUCCAGCAAGGCCGCGUGAGUGAUGAAGGCCGUAGGGUUGUAAAGCGCUAUUAACCGGGAUGAUAAUGACAGUACCUGAACAAUAAGCUCCGGCUAACUACGUG